rnacentral:rRNA from 1 species
CGCUGGCGGCGCGCUUAACACAUGCAAGUCGAGCGAGAACCGGGGCUUCGGCCCCGGGGACAGCGGCGAACGGGUGAGUAACACGUGGGUAAUCUGCCCCCGGUUCUGGGAUAGCCCGGGGAAACCCGGAUUAAUACCGGAUAGCCUCUAGAGUCCUCGGACUCGUGAGAAAAGGUAGCUUCGGCCUCCGACCGAGGAGGAGCCUGCGGCGGAUUAGCUUGUUGGCGGGGUAACGGCCCACCAAGGCGACGAUCCGUAGCUGGUCUGAGAGGACGAUCAGCCACACUGGGACUGAGACACGGCCCAGACUCCUACGGGAGGCAGCAGUGGGGAAUCUUGCGCAAUGGGCGAAAGCCUGACGCAGCGACGCCGCGUGAGGGAAGAAGGCCUUCGGGUUGUAAACCUCUUUCAGGAGGGACGAAGCUACUCGGGUUAAUAGCCCAGAGGGUGACGGUACCUCCAGAAGAAGCCCCGGCUAACUACGUGCCAGCAGCCGCGGUAAUACGUAGGGGGCAAGCGUUGUCCGGAUUUAUUGGGCGUAAAGAGCGUGUAGGCGGCCAGGUAGGUCUGCUGUGAAAACUCGAGGCUCAACCUCGAGC